GGACCCGACUGCUAUCGGGGUAGGGCUAAGCCAUGGAAGUCGAACGCCCCGCCGCUGCGGGGCGUGGCGCACGGCUGAGUAACACGUGGCUAACCUACCCUCGGGAGGGGGAUAACCUCUCGGGAAACUGGGGCUAAUCCCCCAUAGGCGGGGGGGCCUGGAAAGGUUCCCCGCCAAAAGGGAGCGCAGGGGGCCAUCGCCUGCGCUCCGCCCGAGGAUGGGGCUGCGGCCUAUCAGGUAGUUGGCGGGGUAACGGCCCGCCAAGCCGAAGACGGGUAGGGGCCGUGAGAGCGGGAGCCCCCAGAUGGGCACUGAGACAAGGGCCCAGGCCCUACGGGGCGCACCAGGCGCGAAAACUCCGCAAUGCGGGAAACCGUGACGGGGCUACCCCGAGUGCCCCCCUUGUGGGGGCUUUUCCCCGCUGUAAGAAGGCGGGGGAAUAAGCGGGGGGCAAGUCUGGUGUCAGCCGCCGCGGUAAUACCAGCCCCGCGAGACCGGGGCCCUAAACAAGCCCCGGCGCGACUGGUCGGGGUGAUUAUUGGGCCUAAAGCGGCCGUAGCCGGCCCGGUAAGUCCCCCCUGAAAGUCUCGGGCUCAACCCGAGAAGCGGGGGGAUACUGCCGGGCUAGGGGGCGGGAGAGGCCGAGGGUACUCCCGGGGUAGGGGCGAAAUCCUAUAAUCCCGGGAGGACCACCAGUGGCGAAGGCGCUCGGCUGGAACGCGCCCGACGGUGAGGGCCGAAAGCCGGGGGAGCGAACCGGAUUAGAUACCCGGGUAGUCCCGGCUGUAAACGAUGCGGGCUAGGUGUUGGGCGGGCGAGAGAGCCCGCCCAGUGCCGCAGGGAAGCCGUUAAGCCCGCCGCCUGGGGAGUACGGCCGCAAACCUGGUUAGGGCUUAGAGCCCUACCGGGGCGGAAGGCUGAAACUUAAAGGAAAGGGAGGCUGGAAGCUGGGUGCAAAGGCUUAAAUAGCUCUUUUAGGCUUCUAAGUUCCAUCUUUACUCUCUUCAUCUGUCUACCCAGCUUCCACUUCCCCCUGAAUUGGCGGGGGAGCACACAAGGGGUGGAGCCUGCGGCUUAAUUGGAUUCAACGCCGGAA
rnacentral:rRNA from 1 species